AGCGAACGCUGGCGGCAGGCCUAACACAUGCAAGUCGAACGGAUCCUUCGGGAUUAGUGGCGGACGGGUGAGUAACACGUGGGAACGUGCCCUUUGGUUCGGAGCAACUCAGGGAAACUUGGGCUAAUACCGGAUGUGCCCUUCGGGGGAAAGAUUUAUCGCCAUUGGAGCGGCCCGCGUCUGAUUAGCUAGUUGGUGAGGUAACGGCCCACCAAGGCGACGAUCAGUAGCUGGUCUGAGAGGAUGAUCAGCCACACUGGGACUGAGACACGGCCCAGACUCCUACGGGAGGCAGCAGUGGGGAAUCUUGCGCAAUGGGCGAAAGCCUGACGCAGCCAUGCCGCGUGAAUGAUGAAGGUCUUAGGAUUGUAAAAUUCUUUCAGCGGGGACGAUAAUGACGGUACCCGCAGAAGAAGCUCCGGCUAACUUCGUG
rnacentral:rRNA from 1 species